rnacentral:lncRNA from 1 species
CCAGAUGUACAGUUAGAAUAAAGAUAAGGGACAAUCAAAGCAAAUAACGGAUGAAGUAAUGACAAAGAAGAAACCAAGUAGAUAAAGACACAAGGAGAUAGAAAUGGACAAGUCAAUAAGAAGAUAAAAAAGACUCAGAAAAAGAACAAGUGCAUUAUUAAAGUUACGUAAAUUAUUCAAGCUUUUAGUCUUUUCUAUUUAAUGUAAAGUUGCUUUAAGUUUUUUCUUUCAUAAAGCUACUUUGACUUUUGUAAAGAUAUUUUCUACUUUUUGUAAAGAUUAGUACAAGUGUAAAGUAUGAAUAGUAUAGGAAUAGUAUAAAGUAGGAAUAGUGUAAAAUAAUUUACGUGUUUUGUAGAUUAUAAAAAGGCAAGGUAUUUGCAAAGAUAAGACAAGACUUUCAACACAGA